rnacentral:rRNA from 1 species
ACAGAGGGUGCAAGCGUUAAUCGGAAUUACUGGGCGUAAAGCGUGCGUAGUCGGUUAUCUAAGUCGGAUGUGAAAUCCCCGGGCUCAACCUGGGAAUUGCAUUCGAUACUGGAUAGCUAGAGUUCGGCAGAGGGAAGCGGAAUUUCGGGUGUAGCGGUGAAAUGCGUAGAUAUCCGAAGGAACAUCAGUGGCGAAAGCGGCUUCCUGGACCAGAACUGACGAUCAGGCACGAAAGCGUGGGGAGCAAACAGGAUUAGAUACCCUGGUAGUCCACGCCAUAAACGAUGACAACUAGACGUUGGGGACAUAUGGUCCACAGUGUCGCAGCUAACGCGUUAAGUUGUCCGCCUGGGGAGUACGGCCGCAAGGUUG